rnacentral:rRNA from 1 species
ACCGGGAUUGCCUUAGUAACGGCGAGUGAAGCGGCAAAAGCUCAAAUUUGAAAUCUGGUACCUUCGGUGCCCGAGUUGUAAUUUGGAGAGGGCAACUUUGGGGCCGUUCCUUGUCUAUGUUCCUUGGAACAGGACGUCAUAGAGGGUGAGAAUCCCGUGUGGCGAGGAGUGCGGUUCUUUGUAAAGUGCCUUCGAAGAGUCGAGUUGUUUGGGAAUGCAGCUCUAAGUGGGUGGUAAAUUCCAUCUAAAGCUAAAUAUUGGCGAGAGACCGAUAGCGAACAAGUACAGUGAUGGAAAGAUGAAAAGAACUUUGAAAAGAGAGUGAAAAAGUACGUGAAAUUGUUGA